AUUGAACGCUGGCGGCAGGCCUAACACAUGCAAGUCGAACGAGUGGCGGACGGGUGAGUAAUGUCUGGGAAUCCGCCAGAUGGAGGGGGAUAACUUCUGGAAACGGUAGCUAAUACCGCAUACCAUCGGAUGUGCCCAGAUGGGAUUCGCUAGUAGGUGGGGUAACGGCUCACCUAGGCGACGAUCCCUAGCUGGUCUGAGAGGAUGACCAGCCACACUGGAACUGAGACACGGUCCAGACUCCUACGGGAGGCAGCAGUGGGGAAUAUUGCACAAUGGGCGCAAGCCUGAUACAGCCAUGCCGCGUGUAUGAAGAAGGCCUUAGGGUUGUAAAGUACUUUCAGCGGGGAGGCGUUACCCGCAGAAGAAGCACCGGCUAACUCCGUGCCAGCAGCCGCGGUAAUAC
rnacentral:rRNA from 1 species